rfam:Dipodomys ordii contig_68175, whole genome shotgun sequence.
GGGAAGGUGGCUCAGUGGUAGAGCGCUUGCCUUGAAAUGCAUGAGGCCCUGGGUUCGAUUCCCCACCACCACA